rnacentral:rRNA from 1 species
UCCUUCGGGACCUAGUGACAGGUGCUGCAUGGCUGUCGUCAGCUCGUGUCGUGAAAUGUUGGGUUAAGUCCCGCAACGAGCGCAACCCUCGUCCUUAGUUGCCAUCAUUAAGUUGGGCACUUUAAGGAAACUGCCGGUGAUAAGCCCGGAGGAAGGUGGGGAUGACGUCAAGUCCUCAUGGCCUUACAGGCUGGGCUACACACGUGCUACAAUGGCAUCUACAGUGGGCAGCUAUUCCGCAAGGAUGCGCUAAUCUCCAAAAGAUGUCUCAGUUCGGAUUGUCCUCUGCAACUCGAGGGCAUGAAGGCGGAAUCGCUAGUAAUCGCGGAUCAGCAUGCCGCGGUGAAUACGUUCCCAGGCCUU